rnacentral:rRNA from 1 species
GACGAACGCUGGCGGCGUGCUUAACACAUGCAAGUCGAACGGUGACCCGGAGCUUGCUCCGGUGAUCAGUGGCGAACGGGUGAGUAACACGUGGGCAACCUGCCCCCUGACUCCGGGAUAACUGCUCGAAAGAGCAGCUAAUACCAGAUACGACCACUUCGGGCAUCCGAUGGUGGUGGAAAAGUUUUUCGGUCAGGGAUGGGCCCGCGGCCUAUCAGCUUGAUGGUGGGUAGUGGCCUACCAUGGCGACGACGGGUAGCCGGCCUGAGAGGGCGACCGGCCACACUGGGACUGAGACACGGCCCAGGCUCCUACGGGAGGCAGCAGUGGGGAAUAUUGCGCAAUGGGCGAAAGCCUGACGCAGCGACGCCGCGUGAGGGAUGACGGCCUCGGUUGUAACUACUUCUAGCAGGAAGAAAGUUAGACGUACCGUGCAGAAGAAGACGACCGGCGUAACU